UACAGAGGUGCUCAAGCGUUUGUUCGGGAUUCAUUGGGCGUAAAGGGUGCGUAGGCGGCGCGGUAAGUCGGGUGUGAAAUCUCGGAUGCUUAACUCCGAAACUGCAUUCGAUACUGCCGUGCUUGAGGACUGGAGAGGAGACUGGAAUUUACGGUGUAGCGGUGAAAUGCGUAGAUAUCGUAAGGAAGACCAGUGGCGAAGGCGGGUCUCUGGACAGUUCCUGACGCUGAGGCACGAAGGUCAGGGGAGCAAACGGG
rnacentral:rRNA from 1 species